GGGUGGGAGACAGUGUCAGGUGGGCAGUUUGACUGGGGCGGUCGCCUCCUAAAAAGUAACGGAGGCGCCCAAAGGUUCCCUCAGAAUGGUUGGAAAUCAUUCGUAGAGUGUAAAGGCACAAGGGAGCUUGACUGCGAGACCUACAAGUCGAGCAGGGACGAAAGUCGGGCUUAGUGAUCCGGUGGUUCCGCAUGGAAGGGCCAUCGCUCAACGGAUAAAAGCUACCCCGGGGAUAACAGGCUUAUCUCCCCCAAGAGUCCACAUCGACGGGGAGGUUUGGCACCUCGAUGUCGGCUCAUCGCAUCCUGGGGCUGUAGUCGGUCCCAAGGGUUGGGCUGUUCGCCCAUUAAAGCGGUACGCG
rnacentral:rRNA from 2 species